CGACAUGAUCUGAUUUUGUUGAUUGUCUUGUUUUAUGUUUUUGUUUUAUUUGAUGUUGGCUGAAAUAACAUUUUAGUUGUUGUAUUUUUUUGAUUUAAUUUUUAUACGAUAGUGUACUUGUACUGUAAGGGGUUGUGUUUUUAAUAUUUUUUAAGAAGUUGAUUUAUUUUAUUGUACCUUGUGUAUCAGGGUUCAUUGAAUUUUAUUAUUUAUUUUUAUUUCCCGAUUUUAGUGGAGUUAAUGGUCUAUGUUGGUUGUUGUUUCAACAACAUUAAUAAUAGGUUGUUGGUAGUGAAAUGUUAUUCGUCUUUAAUGGUUUCUGGUUUUUCAAGAAAUGAAUUUAAUUCAUGCAUCUUAUUUAAUUUCUGUUGUUUUAUUCUCUUUUUUUAUUUGAUGUUAAGAUUAAGGGGGAUUAGCUCCUUGUUUUAUUUUUAUAAUUAUUUGUUUUAUUUAGUUUUGUGGAUUUUAUAUUGAUUUUCAAUUUGAUUAUGUUAAAAUUUUAUUUUUUCUUUUAUAUAUUUCUUUUUGGUUUAAUUUGUUUAUUGGAAUAUUUUCUUUAUUUUGGUUUGAGUAACAAUUAUUGUGUAAUUAGUAAAUCUUUUGUUCUUAUUUAUAGUUUAAAGUGGUUGAUGUUAAUUUCUUUUUAGGAAUUAGGCAAAAUUUCGUGUCCGCCUGUUUAACAAAAACAUCUUUUCUCGUUAGUUUUUGAAGUAUGGCCUGCCCACUGACGAAUGUAAAGUUGAAGGGCCGCGGUAUUUUGACCGUGCAAAGGUAGCAUAAUCAUUAGUUCUUUAAUUGUGAUCUGGUAUGAAUGGCUUGACGAGAUACGAGCUGUCUUAAUAGAAUUUUUUAUUGAAUUUGGUCUUUGAGUUAAAAUACUUAGAUGUUUUUAUGGGACGAGAAGACCCUAUAGAGUUUGACAAUCCUUCUUAUUUAUUUGGUAUAUAGUUUGUUAUUUUAUUUAAUGGGUUGUAUUGUUUUGUUGGGGUGAUGGGAGGAAUGAUUUUAACUCCUCUUUGUUAUGUUAUAUUCAUGUAUAUAUAUAUAUUGAUCCAUUGAUUUUGAUUAUAAGAUUAAAUUACCUUAGGGAUAACAGCGUUAUCUUCCUUGAGAGUUCUUAUUGGCGGGAAGGUUUGCGACCUCGAUGUUGGAUUAAGGUGAAUUUUCGGUGCAGGAGCUGGGAAGUUUGAUUAGGUCUGUUCGACCUUUAAAACCUUACAUGAUCUGAGUUCAGACCGGCGUGAGCCAGGUUGGUUUCUAUCUAUUAUAAUUUAUUAUGCCUUAGUACGAGAGGACCGGGCAUUCGGAAUAAUUUUGUUUUAUUACUUGAUUUUUAUUAAUGUGGUUACUAUUUUGGCAGACAAGUGCAU
rnacentral:rRNA from 1 species